rnacentral:rRNA from 1 species
UGGGGAAUAUUGCACAAUGGGCGAAAGCCUGAUGCAGCAACGCCGCGUGAGUGAUGAAGGUCUUCGGAUUGUAAAGCUCUGUCUUUUGGGACGAUAAUGACGGUACCAAAGGAGGAAGCCACGGCUAACUACGUGCCAGCAGCCGCGGUAAUACGUAGGUGGCGAGCGUUGUCCGGAUUUACUGGGCGUAAAGGGUGCGUAGGCGGAUGUUUAAGUGAGAUGUGAAAUACCCGGGCUUAACUUGGGUGCUGCAUUUCAAACUGGAUAUCUAGAGUGCAGGAGAGGAGAAUGGAAUUCCUAGUGUAGCGGUGAAAUGCGUAGAGAUUAGGAAGAACACCAGUGGCGAAGGCGAUUCUCUGGACUGUAACUGAACGCUGAGGCACGAAAGCGUGGGUAGCAAACAGGAUUAGAUACCCUGGUAGUCCACGCCGUAAACGAUGAGUACUAGGUGUAGGAGGUAUCGACCCCUUCUGUGCCGCAGUAAACACAUUAAGUACUCCGCCUGGGAAGUACGAUCGCAAGAUUAAAACUCUAAAGUGAAUUGAC